rnacentral:rRNA from 1 species
CCUACGGGGGGCAGCAGUGGGGAAUAUUGGGCAAUGGGCGCAAGCCUGACCCAGCCAUGCCGCGUGAAUGAAGAAGGUCUUAGGAUUGUAAAAUUCUGUCCUAUGGGAAGAAAAAACUGACGGUACCAUAGGAGGAAGCCCAGGCUAACUACGUGCCAGCAGCCGCGGUAAUACGUAGGGUGCGAGCGUUGUCCGGAAUUAGUGGGCUUAAAGAGAGCGUAGGCGGCACUACAAGUCUCAUGUGAAAUACGCGGGCUUAACUUGGGGGUUGCAUGGGAAACUGUAGGGCUAGAGUACAGGAGCGGGAAGCGGAAUUCCUAGUGUAGCGGUGAAAUGCAUAGAGAUUAGGAGGAACACCAGUGGCGAAGGCGGCUUGCUGGACUGAAACUGACGCUGAGGCGCGAAAGCGUGGGGAGCAAACAGGAUUAGAUACCCCAGUAGUC